CUGUGAGGGAGGAGAACAGCCGGAUUCUCCUCCUGAAUCUGGGGGGGCGGGGGCUUGACCAGGACCCAGGAUCAGCCUGGAGAGAACUGGGGGCGACGCGGGGGUCCUGCCCCCCACGCAGUCCGCGGGCGAGAGCGACGCCGGGAGCGGACCGAGGGGCGGCCGGGAGGCUGGCCCCGCCCCGCGGACCCCGCGCGGGUCCCCAGACGGGGGGUGGCGCUGCGGGCGCGGGCGGGCGCCGCGCGCACUGCGGUCCCCGCGCCUCCGCCGCAGAGCGCGCCACGCUCCGCACGCACCUGCCGCCGUCGCCGCCGUGCCGAAACCCGCGCCCCGCGCCCCACGCCCGCGCCCGCGCCCCUCGGUGCCGCCCGGGCCCCGCCAUCGCCUGAGGUCGCUGCGGCCGCCGCCGGAGCCGCCGGAGCCCCCCGAGCUGCCGGGCCGAGGCGCGGGCGCCGCGUCCGGGCCUGCCUUUGAGACAACCUCUGCGGCGGCGGCGCGCGGCCGGGACGCCAGGCUGGGGCAGGUGAGCGCAGGGGGCGGGGGCCGGGGGCGGACUCAGCGCCCCUCCCCACGCGACGGGGGUCGGCCCUCGGGAAGCUCAGGCCUGGCCCAGGCCUCGCCUCUGCUCCUGCCGCGGAGCCUGCCGCCCCGGUCCUCCUGCAGCCAGCGCUUCGGCUAGCUGCCUUCCCUGGGCGCCCUGUCCUGGAGCCAUGGGGCCCACCCAGCCCCUGCCUGCCCCGAUGUCCCGGCCCGCGGCCUGCUGACCUCGGCUGCAGGGGGAGCCCCCCCCGCGCCCCCUCGCCAGCCUCAGCAGCCAGAGACCCUGGGUGAGACCCUGGGCCAGACCCCCAGCCCAGGGCAGCCUCCCACCCCUCCCUGCCCCCGCCUGCCUCCCCCUCCCCC
rnacentral:lncRNA from 10 species